UACGGGGGGGGCAAGCGUUGUUCGGAAUUACUGGGCGUAAAGGGCUCGUAGGUGGCCAACUAAGUCGGACGUGAAAUCCCUCGGCUUAACCGGGGAACUGCGUCCGAUACUGGUUGGCUUGAGUUUGGGAGAGGGAUGCGGAAUUCCAGGUGUAGCGGUGAAAUGCGUAGAUAUCUGGAGGAACACCGGUGGCGAAGGCGGCAUCCUGGACCAUAACUGACGCUGAGGCGCGAAAGCUAGGGGAGCAAACGGG
rnacentral:rRNA from 1 species